AAUUUAUAAUACACGGACGUGGAAAGAAUCCUGUCCAUUGGUUUUCUGAAGAAUAGUUUGUUGGUCUGUAGGUGUCUGUUGCUGUGAUUAUCGCAUAGUAUGAAUACUAGUGUCUGUGCCGUGUCUGCCACGCUACGUGCUGGACACGCUCUCGUGCUGAUAGAUAUGAAUCGACCUUAUGAUUCCCACAGUUUUUUACCUUGCGAUAGGAACUUUUCAGUGAUCAAACGUGUUGUUAGAAGAUAGGAUAGAAUUUACUCCUUCGGUCAACACGAAGAGAUAAUCUACAGUCAUGAAACUCCCCAUUUUGAGUUACUUUCAAAUUGGCUAAAACUGCUUCACUGAAAGCUUAUCAGGGAAAAAUACCAAUCGACUACAAGAAAAUACAAGACAUCAAGGAGGUGGUGAACUGUGUGCCUGAAGAUUUUAAACCGUUCUACCAAGGGAUUUUUCACUACCAACCAGGAUUGUGAGAGCGACAACAACAAUAAUUAAAAUGACUUUUUGCAUUUUUUAAGAAA